rnacentral:rRNA from 1 species
AUUGAACGCUGGCGGCAGGCUUAACACAUGCAAGUCGAACGGUAACAGGAAGAAAGCUUGCUUUCUUUGCUGACGAGUGGCGGACGGGUGAGUAAUGCUUGGGAAUCUGCCUUAUGGAGGGGGAUAACUACGGGAAACUGUAGCUAAUACCGCGUAAUAUCUUCGGAUUAAAGUAUGGGAUCUUCGGACCAUAUGCCAUAAGAUGAGCCCAAGUGAGAUUAGGUAGUUGGUGAGGUAAGGGCUCACCAAGCUGACGAUCUCUAGCUGGUUUGAGAGGAUGACCAGCCACACUGGAACUGAGACACGGUCCAGACUCCUACGGGAGGCAGCAGUGGGGAAUAUUGCACAAUGGGCGCAAGCCUGAUGCAGCCAUGCCGCGUGAAUGAAGAAGGCUUUCGGGUUGUAAAGUUCUUUCAGUGGUGAGGAAGGUGCAUUAUCUAAUAGGUAAUGCAAUUGACGUUAGCCACAGAAGAAGCACCGGCUAACUCCGUGCCAGCAGCCGCGGUAAUACGGAGGGUGCGAGCGUUAAUCGGAAUAACUGGGCGUAAAGGGCACGCAGGCGGUUGUCUAAGUCAGAUGUGAAAGCCCCGAGCUUAACUUGGGAAUUGCAUUUGAGACUGGGCGACUAGAGUCCUCUAGGGAGGGGUAGAAUUCCACGUGUAGCGGUGAAAUGCGUAGAGAUGUGGAGGAAUACCGAAGGCGAAGGCAGCCCCUUGGAGAGAGACUGACGCUGAGGUGCGAAAGCGUGGGUAGCAAACAGG